UAGAAAGGUCGAAAUAAAACACAGUAUCUUUACUUAGGAAGCAAUUAUUAUCAACCUGUCAUCCAUGCAGCACCGAGCUUUACAUCAGCAAUUCCUGUUCUGGUGGGCUUUUAUGAUUUUUUAUCAUUCAUUAAUCACAAACACAUUGUUCUGAUUUAUUCUGCACAGGAAUGAAAUUGUAGGUGGGAAGGAGGGAAACUUCUGCUCUGAAGUACAGCGUUUCCCCCUUUUAUUCCUCUCAGGUGAUCUGUCUUAUUCCAAGUCUCUGGACUUCUGAAGUGCUUGAAUCCAGCCAUCGUCGAGAACAGUUCUACAAUAUGGGCAAAUGUGAGCUUGGUUAUAUCUUCACAGCCACAAAGAAUUAUCUUGUCGUGUAGGCACACCUACUGCAGAGCAGAUGACUUUCCCUUUGUCACUUUGAAUCACUUGCUCUUUCAAAAGGUAAGGACAUCACAGUCCAGAACUCUUAGCCAUUUGCAGCCAAUGGUGUUGACCUACCUUGUCUUUGCAAGCACACCCUGGUCACCAAGUUGAAAAAUACCGUAAGGCAAAAUAAA
rnacentral:lncRNA from 1 species